rnacentral:tRNA from 1 species
UAAAAAAUAAGCUAAUUAAGCUACUGGGUUCAUACCCCAUUAAUAUAGGUAAAAAAUCCUUUUUUUUUAA